GUGAGGAAUAUUGGUCAAUGGGCGCGAGCCUGAACCAGCCAAGUAGCGUGCAGGAUGACGGCCCUAUGGGUUGUAAACUGCUUUUAUAGGGGAAUAAAGUUUCCUACGCGUAGGAUUUUGUAUGUACCCUGUGAAUAAGGACCGGCUAAUUCCGUGCCAGCAGCCGCGGUAAUACGGAAGGUCCGGGCGUUAUCCGGAUUUAUUGGGUUUAAAGGGAGCGCAGGCUGGCGGCUAAGCGUGACGUGAAAUGUACCGGCUCAACCGGUGAACUGCGUCGCGAACUGGCCGUCUUGAGUGAGUGCGACGUCAGCGGAAUUCGUGGUGUAGCGGUGAAAUGCUUAGAUAUCACGAAGAACCCCGAUUGCGAAGGCAGCUGACGAGUCCUUUACUGACGCUAAAGCUCGAAGGUGCGGGUAUCGAACAGG
rnacentral:rRNA from 1 species